rnacentral:rRNA from 1 species
AAGCAGCUUGCUGCUUUGCUGACGAGUGGCGGACGGGUGAGUAAUGUCUGGGAAACUGCCUGAUGGAGGGGGAUAACUACUGGAAACGGUAGCUAAUACCGCAUAACGUCGCAAGACCAAAGAGGGGGACCUUAGGGCCUCUUGCCAUCGGAUGUGCCCAGAUGGGAUUAGCUAGUAGGUGGGGUAACGGCUCACCUAGGCGACGAUCCCUAGCUGGUCUGAGAGGAUGACCAGCCACACUGGAACUGAGACACGGUCCAGACUCCUACGGGAGGCAGCAGUGGGGAAUAUUGCACAAUGGGCGCAAGCCUGAUGCAGCCAUGCCGCGUGUAUGAAGAAGGCCUUCGGGUUGUAAAGUACUUUCAGCGGGGAGGAAGGGAGUAAAGUUAAUACCUUUGCUCAUUGACGUUACCCGCAGAAGAAGCACCGGCUAACUCCGUGCCAGCAGCCGCGGUAAUACGGAGGGUGCAAGCGUUAAUCGGAAUUACUGGGCGUAAAGCGCACGCAGGCGGUUUGUUAAGUCAGAUGUGAAAUCCCCGGGCUCAACCUGGGAACUGCAUCUGAUACUGGCAAGCUUGAGUCUCGUAGAGGGGGGUAGAAUUCCAGGUGUAGCGGUGAAAUGCGUAGAGAUCUGGAGGAAUACCGGUGGCGAAGGCGGCCCCCUGGACGAAGACUGACGCUCAGGUGCGAAAGCGUGGGGAGCAAACAGGAUUAGAUACCCUGGUAGUCCACGCCGUAAACGAUGUCGACUUGGAGGUUGUGCCCUUGAGGCGUGGCUUCCGGAGCUAACGCGUUAAGUCGACCGCCUGGGGAGUACGGCCGCAAGGUUAAAACUCAAAUGAAUUGACGGGGGCCCGCACAAGCGGUGGAGCAUGUGGUUUAAUUCGAUGCAACGCGAAGAACCUUACCUGGUCUUGACAUCCACGGAAGUUUUCAGAGAUGAGAAUGUGCCUUCGGGAACCGUGAGACAGGUGCUGCAUGGCUGUCGUCAGCUCGUGUUGUGAAAUGUUGGGUUAAGUCCCGCAACGAGCGCAACCCUUAUCCUUUGUUGCCAGCGGUCCGGCCGGGAACUCAAAGGAGACUGCCAGUGAUAAACUGGAGGAAGGUGGGGAUGACGUCAAGUCAUCAUGGCCCUUACGACCAGGGCUACACACGUGCUACAAUGGCGCAUACAAAGAGAAGCGACCUCGCGAGAGCAAGCGGACCUCAUAAAGUGCGUCGUAGUCCGGAUUGGAGUCUGCAACUCGACUCCAUGAAGUCGGAAUCGCUAGUAAUCGUGGAUCAGAAUGCCACGGUGAAUACGUUCCCGGGCCUUGUACACACCGCCCGUCACACCAUGGGAGUGGGUUGCAAAAGAAGUAGGUAGCUUAACCUUCGGGAGGGCGCUUACCACUUUGUGAUUCAUGACUGGGGUGAAGUCGUAACAAGGUAACCGUAGGGGAACCUGCGGUUGGAUCACCUCCUUA